CAAGACCAACAACUAACAGCAAAUUGACAUGAUAAACAUAAACAACUUGUUUGACACAAGAUUUGCUAUGGUACCAAACUGUCUGAUCAAAGUGAUUGAAAUUGCAAAGGAAAGACAUUACUUCGGGGAACGAUGAUUGAACGAUCAAAAGUCAACAAAAGUAACUCUUUGCUCAUAUGAUUUCAUCUAUUUAUUUUAGAUUUGAAAGAAAAAUAACUGGUUAAAAUAUGUUUAUGCUGUCUACAGAAUGCGUGUAGUGUAUUUCCACUAAAACACACCAGUUUCUGUUUGGUGGUGAAAUUUAUUCGUCCUUCGCAACGCUUGGAAGAUUUCAUUCAACAUAAUAAUGGGUGUUAAUGUCUAGGCCGCUAGAAGUAAAUUACGAUUGAUGGAGACACACACAAUUUCUCUUUGAUGAUACGACGAAAAGUCGGAAGUGAAACAUUUGGAGAAUUGAGAAUAAGGACAAAACUAGAAACGAAACCAGAAAAAUACACUUAGAAGCCGCCAAAACCAAGAAUAUACUUAUUGUCUAAAUGCGCGCAUCUAGGCAAACAACAGAAAAUGCCAACAAAUUGGAAUAAACAACGAGUGCCCUCACCGCACCAACUAAGCUUUUAUAGAGACAAACUUCGUAAAUAGAAAAGUACAGAACGUAUCGCAUACAGAUAAAUGAUAAAUCUGAACCAAGAAUAUCAAGAAAUAAAAUACUACACAUUCAUUUAAAAUUUAUCUUUGACAAUAAUAGGGAGGUUUUAUUGACGUGGACUUAUCUUUCGCUUUGAAUCACCUCGGAAGCAAGUUGAAAGCGAGGGUGGAAAGCAAAUUAAAGAUAAACAGAUAAUCACAGGUGUACAUGAACGCAAAUACCUUUAAUAAAGCCGUCAGUUUAUAUUUC